GUAACACGUGGACAACCUACCCUUGGGUUCGGCAUAAUCCUGGGAAACUGGGGAUAAUUCCGGAUAGGUCACAGAUGCUGGAAUGCACUGUGGCUCAAAGCUCCGGCGCCCAAGGAUGGGUCUGCGGCCUAUCAGGGUUGUAGUGGGUGUAAUGUACCUACUAGCCUACGACGGGUACGGGUUGUGAGAGCAAGAGCCCGGAGAUGGAUUCUGAGACACGAAUCCAAGCCCUACGGGGUGCAGCAGGCGCGAAAACUUUACAAUGCGGGAAACCGUGAUAAGGGAAUCUCGAGUGCCAGCAUAUAAUGUUGGCUGUCCAGAUGCCUAAAAAGCAUCUGUUAGCAAGGGCCGGGCAAGACCGGUGCCAGCCGCCGCGGUAACACCGGCGGCCCGAGUGGUAACCGCUAUUAUUGGGUCUAAAGGGUCUGUAGCCGGCCAGGUAAGUCCCUUGGGAAAUCUGGCAGCUCAACUGUCAGGCUGCUAGGGGAUACUGUUUGGCUUGGGACCGGGAGAGGUGAGAGGUACCUUGGGGGUAGGGGUGAAAUCUUGUGAUCCUCGGGGGACCACCAGUGGCGAAGGCGUCUCACCAGAACGGGUCCGACGGNNANGGACGAAAGCUAGGGGCACGAACCGGAUUAGAUACCCGGGUAGUCCUAGCCGUAAACGAUGCUC
rnacentral:rRNA from 1 species